UACUCUUACUUUCCCGACCUGAAAUUAGUGAUAUAGCAUUCAAAUACCAUUCCUUAGAUUCACGGAAAGCGAGAGACAGACCAUCAUUUGGAAGGCUGUAUGAUAUAAGAUGCAAAGUGUUAUAUAGGUCGGGUUGAUAUGCACUUGUGAUGCAUCAUAGGAAUUAGAUAGGAAGAUGCAAGCCGAAUAUUACCUUUGUAUGUUUUCACUUUAACAAACCGGAGGAUGCAAACCACAAUGACACCAUUUGAUGCCUGGCAGCCUCCAAAAACUUUGUCAGCGAAUGAGCCCCACAAGCUGUAUACUGGCGCCAAUUAUGAAGGACUUUGACCUGGAUUCUCCAUGCAGUCUUGUACGGACGAAUGUCGCGGAGGAAAGCAAAAGAAGCCGCCAUUGUUUUAGGAAAUUAGGCGUUGAAGUCGAAGGGAGUUAAGAGAUAAUAUAGUUUCCAUCUUUUC